rnacentral:rRNA from 1 species
AGCGUAGGCGGACAGUUUAGUCAGAGGUGAAAGCCCAGGGCUCAACCUUGGAAUUGCCUUUGAUACUGGCUGUCUUGAGUGCGGGAGAGGUGUGUGGAACUCCGAGUGUAGAGGUGAAAUUCGUAGAUAUUCGGAAGAACACCAGUGGCGAAGGCGACACACUGGCCCGUUACUGACGCUGAGGCUCGAAAGCGUGGGAGCAAACA